GACGAACGCUGGCGGCGUGCUUAACACAUGCAAGUCGAGCGGAGCGGCGAACGGGUGAGUCACGCGUGAGUAACUGCCCCCCUCUCUGGGUUAACCGUUGGAAACGGCUGCUAAUACCGGAUAGCGGGGGAUGCCUCGCGUCCUAUCAGCUUGUUGGUGGGGUAGUGGGCUACCAAGGCGACGAAGGGUAGCCGGCCUGAUAGGGCGACCGGCCACAUUGGGAUUGGAUACUGACCAAACUCCGACGGGAGGCAGCAGUUGGGAAUAGUGCACAAUGGGGGAAACCCUGAUGCAGCAACGCGCGUGCGGGAUGACUGCCUUCGGGUUGUAAACCGCUUUCAGCCAUAACGCGGUAGUGGCAGAAGAAGCACCGGCUAACUACGUGCCAGCAGCCGCGGUAAUUC
rnacentral:rRNA from 1 species